rnacentral:rRNA from 1 species
UCCUUCUUUGGCCCUCUUUGUCCGGCCUUAUUGGGCGUAAAGCGCGCGCCUGCGGUUCCUUAAGUCUGAUGUGAAAGCCCACGGCUCAACCGUGGGGGGUCAUUGGAAACUGGGGGACUUGAGUGCAGAAGAGGAGAGCGGAAUUCCACGUGUAGCGGUGAAAUGCGUAGAGAUGUGGAGGAACACCAGUGGCGAAGGCGGCUCUCUGGUCUGUAACUGACGCUGAGGCGCGAAAUAGUGGGGAGCAAACAGG